rnacentral:rRNA from 1 species
AACGAACGCUGGCGGCAGGCCUAACACAUGCAAGUCGAGCGAGGACUUCGGUUCUAGCGGCGGACGGGUGAGUAACGCGUGGGAAUGUGCCCUUCUCUACGGAAUAGCCCUGGGAAACUGGGAGUAAUACCGUAUACGCCCUAUUGGGGAAAGAUUUAUCGGAGAAGGAUCAGCCCGCGUUGGAUUAGGUAGUUGGUGGGGUAAUGGCCUACCAAGCCGACGAUCCAUAGCUGGUUUGAGAGGAUGAUCAGCCACACUGGGACUGAGACACGGCCCAGACUCCUACGGGAGGGAGCAGUGGGGAAUCUUAGACAAUGGGGGCAACCCUGAUCUAGCCAUGCCGCGUGAGUGAUGAAGGCCUUAGGGUUGUAAAGCUCUUUCAGCUGGGAAGAUAAUGACGGUACCAGCAGAAGAAGCCCCGGCUAACUCCGUG